AGACCCGAAACCCGGUGAUCUAGCCAUGGGCAGGUUGAAGGUUGGGUAACACUAACUGGAGGACCGAACCGACUAAUGUUGAAAAAUUAGCGGAUGACCUGUGGCUGGGGGUGAAAGGCCAAUCAAACCGGGAGAUAGCUGGUUCUCCCCGAAAGCUAUUUAGGUAGCGCCUCGUGAAUUCAUCUCCGGGGGUAGAGCACUGUUUCGGCUAGGGGGUCAUCCCGACUUACCAACCCGAUGCAAACUGCGAAUACCGGAGAAUGUUAUCACGGGAGACACACGGCGGGUGCUAACGUCCGUCGUGAAGAGGGAAACAACCCAGACCGCCAGCUAAGGUCCCAAAGUCAUGGUUAAGUGGGAAACGAUGUGGGAAGGCCCAGACAGCCAGGAUGUUGGCUUAGAAGCAGCCAUCAUUUAAAGAAAGCGUAAUAGCUCACUGGUCGAGUCGGCCUGCGCGGAAGAUGUAACGGGGCUAAACCAUGCACCGAAGCUGCGGCAGCGACACUCAGGUGUUGUUGGGUAGGGGAGCGUUCUGUAAGCCUGCGAAGGUGGCCUGUGAGGGUUGCUGGAGGUAUCAGAAGUGCGAAUGCUGACAUAAGUAACGAUAAAGCGGGUGAAAAGCCCGCUCGCCGGAAGACCAAGGGUUCCUGUCCAACGUUAAUCGGGGCAGGGUGAGUCGACCCCUAAGGCGAGGCCGAAAGGCGUAGUCGAUGGGAAACGGGUUAAUAUUCCCGUACUUGGUGUUACUGCGAAGGGGGGACGGAGAAGGCUAUGUUGGCCGGGCGACGGUUGUCCCGGUUUAAGCGUGUAGGUGUGUGUUCCAGGUAAAUCCGGUUCACUUUAACACUGAGGCGUGAUGACGAGGCACUACGGUGCUGAAGCAACAAAUGCCCUGCUUCCAGGAAAAGCCUCUAAGCAUCAGGUAACAUCAAAUCGUACCCCAAACCGACACAGGUGGUCAGGUAGAGAAUACCAAGGCGCUUGAGAGAACUCGGGUGAAGGAACUAGGCAAAAUGGUGCCGUAACUUCGGGAGAAGGCACGCUGACACGUAGGUGAAGUGAUUUACUCAUGGAGCUGAAGUCAGUCGAAGAUACCAGCUGGCUGCAACUGUUUAUUAAAAACACAGCACUGUGCAAACACGAAAGUGGACGUAUACGGUGUGACGCCUGCCCGGUGCCGGAAGGUUAAUUGAUGGGGUCAGCGCAAGCGAAGCUCCUGAUCGAAGCCCCGGUAAACGGCGGCCGUAACUAUAACGGUCCUAAGGUAGCGAAAUUCCUUGUCGGGUAAGUUCCGACCUGCACGAAUGGCGUAAUGAUGGCCAGGCUGUCUCCACCCGAGACUCAGUGAAAUUGAACUCGCUGUGAAGAUGCAGUGUACCCGCGGCAAGACGGAAAGACCCCGUGAACCUUUACUAUAGCUUGACACUGAACAUUGAGCCUUGAUGUGUAGGAUAGGUGGGAGGCUUUGAAGCGUGGACGCCAGUCUGCGUGGAGCCGACCUUGAAAUACCACCCUUUAAUGUUU
rnacentral:rRNA from 2 species